AAAAAUGAUGUAGGUUACUUAAUCAGUUCAUCUCUUUCUCUUUCUUAACUCUUCACUUCCCCCUUUAUAUUUAAUGCACAAUUGCACACUAACGUGUUUCUUUUGAAAUCAAUAUCUAUAUCUAUCUACAACCUUUACAACUUGCUGGACACUGAGGAAAAUGAAUCGGUGUAACACUUCUUUGGAGAAUAACCAAAAUCCUAUUAGAUACCUCUGCCCUUUCUUCCUCCAUUGAUGCCAAUUUGCUUCAAGUGUUAUAUCUCCUUCUUAGAGCUAUGCUUCAAAUCCUAAAUUGAAUCGUAAGGCAACAAUCAAUGUAGAAGCGGCGAUCUAUUUUUCAUGUGCUCACAUUGUAAAUUGCAGCAACACAUAGAUGAAGCAUUUCUUGAAAAGCCAAAUGAAGAGUAUAGUGCUUGGAUUCUUGACUCAUAGAAGUGGGGAUGUUUGAGAGACUUUUGGUUCUUGAUUGGGGACACGCCUUCGAUUUCCAAAAAAGGGAGAUAUUAAUCUUUUCAUUCUUGAUCAAUUUUGAAUGUUAUUCGGAUGUAGUUAAGCAUCAGGGGAGUAGACCUCAUUUUAGUUCAUGUGGUUCUUAAUGAACUUAGUGUAAGACAAUGAGUUACAAGGUCUAUGUUUAGAUGUGCUGAAGAAGAAAUCUAUGCGAUCUUCCUUAGUAGAUGGAGCAUUCAAACAAUGACGCCAUAAUACUUUAAAGAUUGAAAAUUCCAUUCCUAUUUUCUAGCUAGAAGAGACUUUGCCUUUUUAAUUAAUAAUAACGUAUAGUUUUAAGGCAUG